UCCUACGGGAGGCAGCAGUGGGGAAUAUUGCGCAAUGGGCGAAAGCCUGACGCAGCGACGCCGCGUGCGGGACGAAGGCCCUCGGGCCGUAAACCGCUUUCAGCGGGGGAGAAGAGCGACGGUACCCGCAGAAGAAGCCCCGGCUAACUACGUGCCAGCAGCCGCGGUAAUACGUAGGGGGCGAGCGUUGUCCGGAUUCAUUGGGCGUAAAGGGCGCGUAGGCGGCCCGGCAGGCCGGGGGUGAAAUCGCGGGGCCCAACCCC
rnacentral:rRNA from 1 species